rnacentral:rRNA from 1 species
UAGAGUUUGAUCCUGGCUCAGGAUGAACGCUGGCGGUCUGCUUAACACAUGCAAGUCGAACGGAACCUUCGGGUUUAGUGGCGGACGGGUGAGUAAAGCGUGAGAAUCUGCCUCCAGGUCGGGGACAACAGUGGGAAACUGCUGCUAAUCCCGGAUGAGCCUAAGGGUAAAAGAUUUAUUGCCUGGAGAGGAGCUCGCGUCCGAUUAGCUAGUUGGUGAGGUAAGAGCUUACCAAGGCGACGAUCGGUAGCCGGUCUGAGAGGACGAUCAGCCACACUGGGACUGAGACACGGCCCAGACUCCUACGGGAGGCAGCAGUGGGGAAUUUUCCGCAAUGGGCGAAAGCCUGACGGAGCAAGACCGCGUGCGGGAGGAAGGCCCUUGGGUCGUAAACCGCUUUUCUUAGGGAAGAAGCUCUGACGGUACCUAAGGAAUCAGCCUCGGCUAACUCCGUGCCAGCAGCCGCGGUAAUACGGAGGAGGCAAGCGUUAUCCGGAAUUAUUGGGCGUAAAGCGUCCGCAGGCGGCUUACCAAGUCUGCUGUCAAAUACCAGAGCUCAACUCUGGGUCGGCGGUGGAAACUGGCAAGCUAGAGUACAGUAGGGGUAGAGGGAAUUCCCAGUGUAGCGGUGAAAUGCGUAGAGAUUGGGAAGAACACCGGUGGCGAAAGCGCUCUACUGGGCUGUAACUGACGCUGAGGGACGAAAGCUAGGGUAGCGAAAGGGAUUAGAUACCCCUGUAGUCUUAGCUGUAAACGAUGGAGACUAGGCGUGGCUUGUAUCGACCCGAGCCGUGCCGAAGCCAACGCGUUAAGUCUCCCGCCUGGGGGAGUACGCACGCAAGUGUGAAACUCAA